rnacentral:rRNA from 1 species
UACGGGGGGAGCAAGCGUUGUUCGGAUUUACUGGGCGUAAAGGGCGCGUAGGCGGCCUCUGCAAGUCGACUGUGAAAUCUCCGGGCUUAACCCGGAACGGUCAGCCGAUACUGCAGGGCUAGAGUGCAGAAGGGGCAACUGGAAUUCUCGGUGUAGCGGUGAAAUGCGUAGAUAUCAGGAGGAACACCAACGGCGAAGGCAGCUCGCUGGGACGGUACUGACACUAAGGCGCGAAAGCGUGGGGAGCGAACAGG